rnacentral:tmRNA from 1 species
GUGGCUGCCUGACACUCUUAAGGGAGAUGGGGUGAGAUCAGCCUUAUCACCCAAAUGAUCCAUGGGGGCUGGAAGGCCCC